AUAUAUAUAUAUAUAUAUAUAUAUAUAUAUAUAUCUGUUGGGAAAAUUCAGCUUAUACAAUGCCCAUCCAAAGACACCAGAAUUUAGCUAAUGUAUACUGAAAAAUGUGGAAUUUGUCACAAGAAGGAAGAAAAAGAUCCAGCACGUGGACAAGAGGGUGGAAGAAUGAGGAUGGUGGUGUCGGGACAAAUUGUGUGCCUGCGUGCCCAUUCUCAGCUUGCAAAGAUGGUCCUGCUACUUGGCUUAUUUCUUAUUUCUUCUCUUAUCUCCCUCUUCAUUCUUCUCUUCCCACUCCUUCUCCCCUCUCUCCUCUUCACUAAUCUAUCAUCAACCCUUGCAGACACCAUAGGCUACACUCAGUAUCUGUUAACUUUUCUUCCUGGUCCAAGAAUAAUACCUUGAAACAUUCGAUUCAAAGUUUCCAACCCAAAGACUCUCCAGAUCUUGCCUUCUCCCUUCUGCCUCUUUUAGUCUCUCAACAGCAAGAACAAAGAGGAACCGUUUCUCUUCCUUCUCCUGGUUGUGCAGUGGAGUCUUUGAAACCACUCUCGGCACGCCUCUUCCCCAACCUGGCCAGACCUGUAGACUCACAGCCUGCAUUUUUCUCUGUGAGGAGUCAUGCAGGUGAACAAAUGGGCCCCUGGGUCUUUUUCUUCCAACAUCUCAGGUACAGAUCUAUGACAUCAGUAGGAUACUAGAGCUUGUAUCACACUAAGUAGCAAUGCUCCAGGGACCCCCUCAAUCCCUCUUCUGAUGUGGUGCCUGUAAAGGUCUUCCUGGGGGCUUUUAGGAGACUCACGCCAUGCAUAUUCACAAUGACCUUGAACUCCCCUGGGUCACCUUCUGUAAAUUUAGAUUUCCCGGCUGCCACCUGCAUUGACAAUGACCUUCAUAAGAAUGUGGAGUCCCUUAGCUGCUGAAUGGCCCAGUGAGGCUCCAGCAUCCACCUGUGUGCUGAGGCUCAGAAAGUCUCCUGCAGAAACUACCGAUUUCAUCCCAUCUCUGCCCCUAACCCAUUCCUCAGAACAAGUGCAAAUGCCACAGUCCAGAAGACACACAAAGAAAACAUGUGACCUUUCUCAUGGACAUCUCUCCUGUCUUCUAUUUACACAGUAGACUCAACACAAACACUGCUCUUUUUCAGCCACACCCAAAAGUGCCUUUAAUGGUUCAUCUACCUUGUCAAUGCGACUGGACUUAGAAUCACCCACGAGACAUACCUCCACGUGUAUCUGAGGAUGUUUCCAGAGAGGUUUAACAGAAAACCUACCCGGAAUGUGGGCAUCAGCAUCCUAUGGGCUGGGAUCCUGGGGCAAAGGAGGAAGCCAACUAAAUGCUAGCUUGCAUUCACCUCACUCCACGUCCUGGGUAUGGAGGCAGUGGGACCCACUACCUCACACUCCCUCGGCCACUCCUUCAGCACCAUGAUGGAUUGUACCCUCAAAACCCUUCCUGAUGCUUGCUUUGUCAAGCACUUUGCCAUUGAGCAAAGUAACUGAUGUCAUGCUCAUACAGGGCAAUUCACAGAGGAUGACACUUUGGGUUGAGGGGAGGCCUGGUUCUCAUCAAAUCUCAGGCUCAGAAUGUAGGAGCUAGAGCCCUGGGAAUCUUCUGGUGGCCUGUGCAUGUGGCCACUCCUUUCCCUCUGGGUUUCUGGUUUGCUCAGGUUGCAUGUAAGUUAUCCCCCCCUCUCUCCAAUGUAGCUGAGUUACAUUCUAUGUUAUAUUUCUAGGGUGGUAGGUGUCCCCAUUUGUGGGAAAUCCUAGAGUGGGGACCGUUCUCUCUUAAGCUCUGUAAUCAUUCCUAUUACAAUUUCCAAAAUCCUCUUGUCAUGGCUUCUUCUCUGUCUCACCACCACCAAGGCCUAGUGACUCCCGGGGAAACAAUCCUUUUUAUCUGCGAGCUGCUCCCAUCUAUCUGCUGCUGAUGGGUCGACAUGUAAUGAAGACAUUUUGGAGGACUGUCCAGCUUCCACAAAAGAAUGAAUCUCUAAUGGUGGGGUGGCGUAAAGCAUCAGAUACAGGGUGGUGCAACCAUACCUUGGAGUGCUCCCAAGUGAUCCCAAACCCAUAAAAGCAUCUUAUACUUGUAUAUAAUUGUAGUUACAUAAUUCUAAGUCCUUUUGCCAACUGCUAAGUUGUACCCUGGUGAAUGAGCUUCAGACAAAGCAGGAAGCUAUAGGAGGCUACUGUAUAGGAGCAGAGAAAAAUGUCAAAUUACAGUCCCAGUUGUAUACCACACAUAGCUGAAGUCCCCAAGGUACUGGGUCAGUUAAGACAGAAAGACCCCCUGGGAAAUUGGGACUGGCAGCAGUCUGGGUCUGCCCUUAAGGUCCUCUAUACUACCAAGUUUCACGUCUUCAACAUUUAGAGGUGUUUGGUCAAGCCAGAUUUGUGGAUCGUAUUCAAGUCUUCAGUAGUAGUACCAUGAGCCCUGUGACUGAUGUUCAAAUUACAGACACUGUUUCAAGCUCUUAAGGCAGGCAAAGGGAAGAGGGAGGAGGCAGUAUUUAGGAAGCUUGACUACCUGGAGCUCAGGUAUUGGGGUCUCAGAAGUAUUCAGCCAUACCUGUCUUCAAAGUUUGUCUUUAAAAAAAAAUUAGAUACCAGAAAAAUAAUCAGUCUUGCUGUCAAGUCAGACUUGAAGAGAUGGACCCUGUGGAAUUGGACCAUUGUCCAUGUACACUGGAAGGGAUAUUAGAGACAUGCAUCUGGAGACUGGCGCUUCUGGGUAUCCAUCCUACAAGGCAGCCCCUUUCAUCUUCCUACUCCACUUUACAGCGCCCACUACCACAUUGUAUUCAGAGGCUUUUCAGUGGGGCUCAGGCACAUUGAAGCAUGCCUACAAAGCCGGGACGGGGAGCAACUGCAAUAACCAGGAGGGCAAAGCUGGCAGGAGACCAUGCUCAUGCCUUCAGUCAGUCCUCUUGGAUAGAUGGGAUAAUUCUAAUGCAGGUCCUAUCCUAAGUUAUAGUGGAUCUUCACGGGAGACAUUCAAUUUCUCCAUUAACAGCAAGAAAAGAGGGCGAGCUUUCCCGGUAGAUACUGUAGCAACUGCUUCCUUAGGAGAGUUUCAAAAGCCAAAAAGCAAAGGAGGUGAUGACGUGGCCAAGGGAACUGCUUUCAAGUUGAUUCUGCCUGGAGCUAGAACAAGAAAUCAUGGCUCUGAAGCCUCCUUCUACAGUGUACAUAAAAAAUAUUGACCAAGGGCACGGUACAACUUGGAGCACAACUAGUUAUGGACAGUGUCUGCUUGCCCUCACAUCUGGACAGGUGAGGACAAAGUGAAUGGCUGGGGCCAGUGACGAACUGCAGAAACCGUCAGGGACCCACAGAUUCAGGCUGGAAACACAGCUCCGCUUGGCUCUCCCAAACACAACAAACGGGAAGCAGAGGGCAGAAAUUUGAAGGUGAAGAAUUAUUUUAAUUAAACAGUUAAAAGUUGUUAUGGAGCCUGCUCUGUGGAGAGGCUUCCUCAGGGAUCCAGGAGGAAUACUGCACCCUUCCUGGCAGCUCAACAUGCAGCCAGACCAGCCUCCUUUCCAUUCACAGCCCCAGCCAGUGGGUGCCCAAGGGGCAAUGCUGUGGGUCAGCCCUGGACCAGCUUCCAGAGGCAACAUCUCCCCCAAACAGGCCUCACAUCUCCCCAAACCACUUUUUGACUGGCCUCUGCCUCCAUCCAGCAGGGCUGGCCUUCUCCAGGAUGCUCAGCCACUGGGUGUAUUAAAAAGCCUCUCUUGAUGCCUCUCUCCAUCCAGUGCUGUACGUACCUAUGGUCCUGGGCACUCAAGUCUGCCUCUAUGCUUCAUUCAAUAAGAAAAGCUAUUGAGGUGUAUUUACUGCAAACCACAACUUCCAUCUUGGGAGAAACAUUGUUUUCCAAUCUUACUUCUAGGUGCUCCAAGUAAAUUUAAUGGACAGUAAACAUCUAACAAAUGGUACAAUUCUAGACAGGCAGUUGUAACUUUUUUCCCAAAGUAUCUUUUAUUGUUAUUAUUUUAAUUAUAUGCACUUGUGUGUGCAGGAAUCCUCUGGACCUGGACUUGCAGUUGUAUGAGCCACCUGAUGUGGGGACUGGGAACUGAUCGCAGGUCCCCUGCAAGAACAGUAUGCGUUCCUAAACACUGAGCUGUCUCUCCAGUCCUUUCCACACCAGGUGCAAAAAAAUCCUAAGUGCUAAGCCAGAGACAAAUCUUUUCUACAGUUUUCAUUCAUACAGUGCGGCUGCAAGACUGGCGGAGACUAAGACCUUUUACAAACACUGCUACAGUCUAGUCACUGAUCUUGAACAGAACUCAGUCCGCACCUCCUCAGCCAUCAUCCCACUGCGGAGUACAGAAGGCUGCCUUGCUUUUGCUGUCUGUAAAGCACAAGUGUGUACAACUAGCAGAGUGACCUCUUGACUCCUUUUGAUUUCCAUGGUUUUGCUCUUAAAUAAUGACCUUUAGUGAUUUUGUGUGUGCAAGCCAAGGAAUGGUAGGCUCUGAGCCCCUGUUAGUGGACGUAACUUUUCAGUCACACAUUUGGCGAUCAUUUUGAUGUCUUCCCCAGUCCCACUGAUUUUGUGGUUCCAUCGCCCUUUUUCAUGGACACUGUCGAAGGUCUGUUGUCACUCUUCAGCUUGUUUCUUCUUGCAAGCCCUUCCUGCCUCAACCCCCAACGGCCCCGUCUCUCUCACAUUGUCUUGGCACCGUGAUGUGUUCAGACAUGGUUAUAUCCUUAAGCACACUACUUGGCUUCUUGGUCAUGCUAUUUAUGCUUGGAUUUCAUUUCUGCUGCUUCUGCUUUUACUUCUCUGCUCUACCCUACUCUCUAAAACUCCUUACAGAGAAAUGAUGAACUGGCCAGAUAUACUUCCCAUCUCAACUCUGAACUCUCCAGUCCUAUAUGUCCUCAUCUUCUCAGGUGACAUAGUCAAAGAGACUAUGUUUCCACAGAUUCUCCACAUCUAUUUGCUCUGCUAUCUGGACGGAUCUGUUGGUUCUCAAUGUUGAGCUGUUUGGUUCCCAAGGCCUCUCUGUGCAUCUGCCAGCCACGUUUAUCUCAAAGCUCCAUUCUGCUUACACUAUUACCUUUUCCUCUGCUGCAAACUCUGAUUAAUCAGUACAUCCUCACACAUAACAUUUGUGUGCAUAAAAGGUUCUGUGAGCCUCGCAACCAGGAGAAAGGUGCUGUAUGUACUGUGAGCAAGUUUUGCUUCCUUCCUUCCAAUAUAAGCAAGGUGCCUGUCACUGGUAGAGUGAGGAGGCAGCAGGGGUGUCUGGUUUUGGCUUACGUAGACUGAAGAGCUCCACUUGGAUCCUGUGACCCAAGGUCUGAGAUAUCCAUGUCCAGGGCAGUUAUGGGACAAUCACUAUCUGUCUUGACAGCCACAGCCACUCACUCCAUCCUGUGCUCUGGGCUCUUCCAUCCUACCUCUGUCACUUACAAGCCCAACACACAUUCUUCACGUGUGUAAAUGGUCUGAAGCAAUACUUCCUUCAGAAACUGACUCCAUGGACUUUCCAUGUUUCCGAUAUUUCUCCCAGUUUUACUGCAUCAAAGACAGUUCCUGCUUUCUCUCCCCUGUUCAUAGUUUUAAAACCUACACUGCUCUUCCUUGGGGGAAUUUGACUGGAAAGGUGAGGCUGUCACUUUUGUUUAAUCCCUCCUCUAGGGUGAAAAUACUAGAUAUGUUCUCAAUAAAUAGUUGUUGGAUGGAUAAAUGGAUUUAACGCUUCCUCACCAUUUAAAAGUUGUUCACCUUUGAAAAAGAAUUGUUGCUUCAUUAAUUUACAGAACUGUUUUUUGCCUCUCUUGCCACUCAAAUUAAGUGCAGAACUUAGUAGGAUCCUAAGAGCCCAGGUAGGCAGAAGGUUUUUUUUUUUGUUUGUUUGCAUGAAUCUCUAGAAAUUGCUCCAAGGAUUUCUGGAUUCCCCAUGGAUAAACCUGGCAAAGACCCUAAGGGCACUAAACAGGUGACCUGUGUGUUGGCUCCCAACUGCAAAGCCAACUUUUAACUUUCCUAACGUAUUAGGGAAGUUUUGGUUCCAGAGGUGAGAUGGGUCUUUGGCAGCACAAGAAGUAGAUGAAACCAGUCUCUAGCCUUCAGUUUUGAGGUACACGUCAAAGGUCAUGUCUCACUUUGUAGCAUCUGAGCAAAUGUCAAAGGUAGGCUUUCUUUUUUUCUGUCAUUCACCUUCCCUGACCAGGCAGCGGUCAGAACCAGCUGAUGUGCUGUGGCAUCUCACAGAAGCGGGGGAGGGGGCAAGCCAAGGACCAAGAUGUCCCAAAAGACAGAUACGCACAUACACGCACUGAAGGAAAUUGCUCAACAAAAAGUGGACAUAUAACUACUUUUUUGCCGAGGAGAAUAUGAGGGGCACGCUACUCAAUUUGUAGGGAAAUUGUAACAUCAUUUUCCCCAAUUCCCAGAAUCUAGAAGAUGAACCCUAGCUAUGGACCGGCAACAUGGUGGCAUAGUAUCACUUUGUAGCUCCACGAAGGUAUCGAUGAACAUCUUGCAGUGAUGCCAUCUGAUUCCAUUGGAGAGUAUAGUCUACCCUUGUCUUGAAAAUGUGAGUCACUCCUCUCUCAACUCAUCUGGGCCCUGUCUUAGUUAGAUCCAGUUAGUUUCGUUUCUGUAAAUCCUUCCCUGGGGCUGGCUUCUCAGCACAUGAGGGUUCUCUCCUUGCCCUACUUGGCCCAUCAAUAUAGAUGCUACCACAGUCACUUUGACACGACAAGAGUUGGGGAACCUUAGUCUAAAGUUGUGUCCUUCAGCUCUGAUUAUGGAAAACAUGGACAGUGGGGAUGAACUAGACAGCACACACAGGGAGGGGAGAUUGGCUAUGCUUAUCCAUGAAGCAUUCAUCAUGAUCAAACCAAAGCUCCUUCACCUGGCCUUGGAUACAAACUUUAAGUUUGCUCUUUAACCAAAAACAGGUUUCUCAUAGUUGCGCCUCCAUCGCCAUUUCUUAAUGGGGAUAGUCCGUUGGGAGGUAGCCACGGUGAGAGCCGUAUACAAUGAGAAUACAGUGGCUGUGCUUCUCAGACUCACGGAACCAACAACUGAAAAAGUUCAGGAACAUUCAAAGAAGGGUUGAAUUAGGACCACAUCAUCUAAAGCAGGUAAGACUGUCCUGAGAACUCUGUUUUCUAAGUCAGAGUGGGGCGACCUUUUUUGAAGCUCCCAUCCUACGUCUUUGCAUAAAAUGUUUCUGAACUUUCUUAUAUGACAAUUCGACAACUAGAAGACAAUAAUAUCCACUGCAGAAAAAAAUCAAGAUGCAAGAGGAGAUGAAAGCCUAGCCAGCCAAUCCCUCCCUGUGUUGCACAAGCUCCUGGUCACAGCCUCAGUUAUAAUCUCCAGAGAGCAGAGCCACACCUUCGUUUUAUCCAUCUCAAUACUCAAAGCAGCAUGACGCACAUAGUAGGUGCUUUUAAUUUACCAGUUGAAUGAAUGAGUGAAUGAAUGAACACAUAUCAGUAACUUAGGCCCUCUGCCUCUCCUUACUCUAAAACACUUUUGGACUAGGAAGCCUUGUCAAUAAAGCAGCUUUAAGAGUAUUGAUUUGAGGACCCCAUAGCCACCACCACCCCCCCUCUCAAACCACAGAGGCUGAUGAUUCCCUUUAAAUUGCCACCCCAGGUUCCCCAGGUGGGGGUUCUUGAGGACCAGCUCCUACAGAGGCAGAGCCUUUUCCUUCCAUCUCCCAUCAGAUAGACAGACUCUCAGCCCAGUUCCCAUCAGCUCACAGUGUGGCUACAUGCUCAGAUGCUCACAGUGUGGCUACAUGCUCAGAUGCUCACAGUGUGGCUACAUGCUCAGAUGCUCACAGUGUGGCUACAUGCUCAGAUGCUCACAGUGUGGCUACAUGCUCAGAUGCUCACAGUGUGGCUACAUGCUCAGAUGCUUACGUCCAGAACCCCAGCCGUAGCUGCAGAUGCUUUACAGGUAGAAAAGACAAGCUACCCCAGGAGUUGCUGUCAAAUUUAAUGUUCUGUCUUCAUGGGGUACGGGAGUACGCUUAACAAAAAGUUGUUUUGCAAGGACUUGUCUGUUCUGCCUUGUCUUGUGACUUCUCUAAAGAACACUAAGACAAACUCUUAACUUUAAGAGAUUAUGAGAGAAAGAUAGGGAAUGUGUGUGCCAACAAGAUAGGAACAAGGUCCAGAGGCCAAGAGAGUUUAAAAGCCGUGGCAUGGACCUGCUAGCAGGCACUUCCCUGGUUCACUGUUUAUGGGCCUGACUUCUUGAAGGAAAUGGUCUAAAAUGGUCUACUUAGGACUGGCUGGUUCAGACACCAUGGCCCAGAGAAGAAAACUUGUGUUCUUUAUUAAGGACCUCCAGAGAAAAGGACUCCCCCAUGCCCAGACACACGACUGCCCCAGCAAGAAGAGCUGGUGUCUCUAAAGUGUGACGAUCCCUUAGAGCUGAGAUCCCUUCAAAUACUCUUAACACUCGGCCUCAGAGGGACUGGAGAAUGUUUAGGUCUUUGUCCUGGACAUUCAGAGUGUUGGGAAGGCAGAGAAAGUGAGUUUGGAGUAAAGCUGCUCUUAGGAACAGCUACCCAAAGGAGGGGCUUCCCUCCAGAUCAUGAUUAUUUUAAAGCAUCUAGACUCGUCUCUCUUCUUUAUUUAUGACAGGUAAUAAGGCUCUUUCAUGGAGAAAGGUGUCUAAAAAGAGAACUCGAGGCACAAAAUUUCUGACUCUUCAGCCCCUCUUCCCCCACAUCCCUUUUCUGCAACAGUACGAUUUGGUUGGAAGAGAAUAAGAGGAUACUGGGAUGAAACCCGACGUACCCGUCCUAAGAAUCAGCUGCCCUAGCUGCUCAUUCCAGGGCAGGGGGUAGCUUGGCUUUCCCACUGUGGCCAGAGGCUAUCUCACCACUGGGGCCUUGCAAGGCAGUAGACCUAAAGGCAGACAAUAUAGAUCAAGACUUGCUUGCCAUCUAUCUGUCCCUAACUUCUGCUAGAGACCCAAGCAGCAAAAACCAGUCAUGUCUAGCAACAUGGAAAUGAUAUAAUUGCCCCCAUAGGGUGGGGUCCGGCAAGGAGGCUUAGCCAGAUGGCAAAGCUGAAGAGAUUCCCAAGGGGGAAGGCUUAGCAGUGGCUAGCGUGGCAGAGACUCUCAAACCUUUUAAAACAAAGUCAAAGUCCAGGAUGGAGGCUUAAUAACCUCUGUGACAAAUUGUCCAUGGGAGAACACAGAGGCAAAUCAAGGAUCUGCCAGGCCUCCAGAGAACCCCAGGCAGCCAGCAGGUGAAGCCCCACUCCGCUCUCCAACACUACUCAGUCUCUCCUCAACCCUCAAGUGUCUAUGCUUCUUCCUCCCUGCACCCAUGAGCACCACCUUCCUCCAACCCUCUCUUGGCCACCCCAGGAUCCCUCUGGAGCCACUGGAUUCAAUCAGGACAAAGGUUAUAUAGAACUCGGUAUCACCAAUCAGGAGUUCCCUCCUUCCUGGGACUAACCAAGCAGUCAGUAAUGGGUGAUCUGAGUCUCCCAUUGCCAGUUCUCCAGGUCACCACGCUGCUGCAGUGGGCCUGGCCCUGGGGGACUUGCCCUUCUAAAAUUGAGCUGAUAUGGCAGUUCCUUCACCUAAAGUUGAGCUGACGGUUCUUUGCCGCCAAGGGGAGUAGAAAGGUGAGUAAGAAACAAUUGAGCAGAAGUUUGAACGCCUCCUAGAAACAUUGCCAAGUUGGAACUGCUUCAUUUUCAUGUGUCUGAUAGCCUAGCAUGUCCAAGGACAAUGCCAGGUGUCCUAGGGAUAUAGAGAUAAAUAAGACAUGAUCCCUGUCCUAGAGAGCCUUUGCCCAUGCGAUAACACUUGACUGAAAGGUAAUUGCCAGAUAGGGAAGUGAAGGUCUUGGGAGGCCAUCUAGGAAUAGCAUCUCAGAGAGACUUCCGUCGUGUAACUCCUGAAAACUACCUUAAGCAGUGAGGACAGUUAAGAAGAGGAAGCUGCUGGACUAAGCAUGGGCUUGAGGUGGAUGGGGUAUGGGCAUGGGGCCUGCAUAUGGAUGGAGACAGGGAAAUGUCCACUCCUAGGAAGGACCAACCCCCUCAGGGUAGAAGCAGCAGAGGGGCAGACAUUGGGUGCAAAGCUACCAGGAAGAGUGGGCCCCACUCACUGUGCACUUACAAGUGAGGCAGAUGCAAGCAGAGUAUACAGAAAGAUAAACACCUACGUGACUUCAUUCUCUUCUCUGGGUGCUCGGGAAGGCAGGCACCCUAACCUUACCCAGAGAUUCAGCAGCUCCUUCGAAGACACCCAGCACAAAUGUGGCUAGGCUAAGAAAUGGGGUCUCUUUGAAGCCCAUUCUCAGGAGCACUGUGUGGUGGGGAAGGCCCUUGGACAUCCCCAUGGAGGAGUUUACACUUCAUCCUGAUGCCUGGGAGCCCCAGUGGGUUUUAAAGAGAAGGGAAGCGCUAUAAGAUCUGCAUUCUUAAUGACACUGCCCACUGUGCUGUGGGUAAACUGAGGGCCCAAAGAGGUAGGGGGUGGCUGUUGUAAAGAGGCUGUGAGCUAGGAAAUGCAGACGGGCAUACAAGAAGAGCCCUUGUGAGCAGUCCGAAGGGGAAACCAGUGAGACAAGUGACCACAUAAGAGGAGUCACCAAAACGAGAAGGAGCUGUGAACUUGGCCAGCUGGGCUGAGCACUGGUCAGGGUCCCCAUAAAAUGUGGACCUCGAGCGGCUGGAGACAGUAUUUACCAAGACCACAGGUAAUAAAGGAAAAAAAGACAGAGGUGUGGAGUUACUCCAGGCAGGGAAAACAACUGUGAUUCAUGUCACAAGCACUGCAGACUGAAGCUGCCAGAAGCUUCCACAAGAUGUCUGCAAGCUUCUAGUCUUCCAGUGAGGCAGGGAAGAGAGGACGACAGGGAGACGGGAAACCGCCAGCUAGAAAAUCACAGGCAAGGGCGGAGGUGGCGCUGUCACGUGCAUUUUGCAACCAGUCCUCCAUGAGCCUUUCUGGCUUUUGAGACCUGAAAACUAGAGUCCACCGGACCUGUGAUGCAAAAGUCAGUCGUGGUGCAAUCCAAAGGGUCGACAGAGAGUACAUGAGUCAUAACGGUUGAGAAGGGGCGGGGAAUCCCCCAGAGACACCGACUGCAAACAGUACUUGUAAGUACUUGACUUUUAUAAAAGGAAGUGGUGACAGGCCAGUGUCACAGAGUUUAGAAUGGUGAGUCGGAGCCUGGAGAAGAACAGGUAAUGAGGGGGACAUUAAAGGGGGUGAGGGGAGGUAAAUGAUGUAAGCUCCCUAAGAAAGGGCUAGCUUUAGUCAAAAGAAAGAGAACUUUCUAGCAAAUUUUGGAAGGAGAUGCUACCGGGAGGCAUGGACAGGAAGGGGCCCAGCAAUUAGAAAGCUCUUCCUCAUACAACUAAAGUGACUUUGGCCUUGGGAUAAGGGGGUGAAAUCUGUUUGAAUCACAGGAGCAAGCUGGCUGAAAGUGGGCUGAGAAACCCAAUGAGAGGGUCCACUAGCUAACGCAGGGGACAGAUGCAGAGUUGCCUGGAUGGAGGAUGAAGGCUUUGGGCAACUCCAGGAUAAGCCAUGGUCACAGGGUCUGCACUGGCCACAGUCACUCACACUGUGUGAUCUUUGGCAGCUCUCAGUCACCCCAACAGGAAGCAGAGGUUAUCUGAGGGCCGGGACCUCAUGUCUGAUAGCACAGGGAUGAGGACAGGGGGCUACCGCAGACACAGAGAAGUCUAGAUCAUCUAGGCCUCACUGGUUCCGUGCCUCUAACCCAGAGACCAACCUCUCCUUCCUUGCCCACGGCUGGCAUUGUCAUAGAUGUUGGUCUGUCAUGGGUGCAUUCUCUACUCCAUCCCCGCACUGUUCUUCCCCCCAAGAUCUGGCUCCCUCAACACAUUUUCUCCCUCUGCUGCCAGGCACCUCAGUCAUGCACCUGGUUAUAUACUUGUUGCUUCUGUUUGGGCCUCUACAAGUCCCUGAGUAGUGAAGAUCAGAUGUGUGUCUAGGUGACAGGCCUCCCCUCAGCUCCCCCCUCCUUCCUCAAACUGCCCAUGAACUGAGCAAAGCAGGCUCCAUGGGCUGAGGAAGCUGCUCCUUAUCUCUAUCCUCUUCUGCUAGCCUAUCAUUACAGUGCUGUAUAAACAGCCCCGUGCUAGGGGUCGGAGAGAACGCCACUUGGACUUUCCAAAGAUCUUUGGCAUGGACAAAGUUGAGGAAAGGGAGGCUCAGAGAAGUUAAAUAGCCGGUGUCCUGUGUCACACAGCUUGUUAGUGGCUGCCCUGGGAUUCAAAUCCAGGCCUGACUUCUACAAAGGCAAGCGCUCGUCAGCCUCUUUGCCCACACCUGCGUCCCCAGGCAGAGCUUUUGACAAACUCAUGCCGCCAUUCAUUUGUCCAUCCACAUAGCUGUUGGUUCUUUGGUCAAGGCUGGGCAUUUCCAAAGCUGGCUGCAAACACUAUCUUAAGACUCAGAAUGGUCAACUCUCUGAAAUAGAACCCAUUUCUUAGGGUUAUCUAUACACCACCUUCCACAUCCGGAAAGGACUCCACAGACCCUUCCAAUCACCCUUUGUUCUUGCUUACAGAAGAUGAGAGUGUGAGAGAGAGAGGGAAAGAGAGAGAGCUUAUAGGAACUGCACAGUAUGGUGCUAUUGUCCCCCACACUCACUGUGGAAGCUUUAAGUUUUCCCAACAGUUUUUCCAAAAAAAAAAAAACCUCCAUAAUUUUUAUUGCUGGGACAAAUCUUCAGGCCUUGGGAGAGCAGGCCUUGGGAGAGUGUCAGUCUCCCACUUGCUUAGCAUCCCUGCUCACAACCCCCUCCACACUCCCACCUUCACCUCCACCCUCACUCCCACCUCCACCCUCCCUCUACCCAGACUUCACCUCGAAGGGUCCUAUCCACCUAAACUGGGAGGGGCCCUGAGCCCCUGCUCUCUACCCUCCAGGCUUGUUAGACAAACUGGAGAAUUGAGUUCCAGGAUGGGGUCUGAGCAUCAAAGUGGCUACUGAAUCAGUAUGGCCAAGAGGCUCUGUUUCCAGAGUGAGGGAGAUCUGGGGAACACCAGAAAUCACAAGAUGGAGAAAGAUGGCUGAGAAGUAUUCAGAAGCAGGAGAGGCUCCUCCGCCAUUUGAUAACAAAAUAUUGUGGGGGUUUUUGUUUGUUUCUUUUCCUGGCAAUCCUCUCCAGAUCCAAAUGUUGCUUCUUUGAAAUCUCUGCAACCACACUGGUCACACCUGGUCCUUGGGAAGAUAGGCUAAAGAGGGAUGUUGUUCUGGCCACACCAGCUGACCUGCACCUGCUUUGCAGGGACCACUUAGCUCUACAUCAUGAAUCUGCCUGUCCCAAGAGUCCAAAAUCUUGCUGUUGCUGGGCUAAAUGCCACGUAUUCUCCCCAGCCAGGCUGUGCAUGCACUGGGGUCAUGGUUAAUGUAGACAUCAGGCUCAAGGGCUUCUGCCAAUACAUUAAUGUAUCUUAUCUGCCCAGGACAACUGUUAGAACCAAUCGGGUGGAUCCAAUCACUGUCCCUCCACUGGCCUCGGCGGUCAUUAAAAAUGAAAACGUCCAAGAACCUCCGCCAGAAGGAGCCACAUGAACCAUGAGAGGACUACCUUUGCUUACUGUGACUUCAGUUCCCACAGCAGCUAUUAAUUCAAGCAGUAAAGAUAGUUUGAAUUUGGUUCUGAUCCUGCCAGACAGCAGCAUAUAGGACACAGCCUCUGCUGGAGGCGGGGCAACAAAUCAGUUUCAACUUCAUGAGCCACGGUGGCUGAUCCCAGCCAGCCAUGUCCCUCUGCUGCCCUUAGGUCCUGGGAUAGAACCCUCUGCUCCAAUACUUCCUGAUGUUCUCAUAUCAACGCUACAAAGUCAAUAUGGCACUGAGGACAACUUUACUAGUGAGGAGCCACCUGACUCUCUAAAGCAGACCCAGACAGAUUCUUAAAACACUUUUGUUGCCUCAAGUUUCUGAUUUGAGUUGUUGGCACAGGGGCAGAUCACUCUUUUGCUCCUCAUAGUGGCCUGUGUUGAAAUCAGAUGGUAAGGGUGGCUAAGGGUCAAAUCAGAAAGUCAACUCUCUCCCUGUAACAAAAGCUACCAAGGGUGGACCCUACACUCCAACUAUGCAAACUAUACUGGAAUCACUUCUGGGUUUUAAGACAAAGCAUUAGCUGCAGUCAAGAGCUGGAUGUCAAAGGUGAACGACUCACGACGAUACUUUUUCUCCUUUGGCUGGGGUUCGGGGCUAGGAGUGAGAGUGACAUUCCUUGUUUUUUUGUUUAUUUUGUUUUUGUUUUUUGUUUGUUUUUGUUUGUUUGUUUGUUUUACAAAAGCAAACAGGCUUAGGGAGAUUUCGUGGCCUUCAAUAAUGUGCAGAUCUGGUCAGGGGCAGGGACAAAUAUGUAUCUUGUUGUAUGGUCUCCCUUCUCAUCACUGAAAGAAAAAACUGGGAGUCCAUCACACCUGCCAUGCCAGACCAGCAAGCAGUCUCCAUCAGGACUCUAAGCCCACAGACAGCAUAAGGCAACAUUAAAGGCCAUCCAGCCUUAGCCCUCUGUUUACAGAUAAGAGGACUCAGGCCCCAAGAAGAAAAGUGACUUGUUCAAGGUCACACAGCAAAUUAGUGGCAAUGCCCAGGCUUCAAGUCACAUUGGCAGAGUGCGGUGUAUGCCAGCAGCCAACCUUCCCCUCCAGCAGAUACACCUAGACUCUGUGCCUGGAUCACAUUACGGUCUCCUGUUUCUCUGUCACUCUUCUUGGGGGAAGGAACAGGUCUGUACUGGAGUAGCUAGGGCUUCCUUUUCAACCAGGUGAAAGCCCCCUCUCCCAGUCUCUCCAGACAUUUUAGGUGGAGGCGUUUACAGUUCUUAAGUGUCCAUAUCUGUCUCCGCCCCAGAGAUAAACCACAGAAGAAUCCAGAUCUUCCUCUUUCAUGUUUGCAGCUGUCCUUGCUGCACAGAGGGAAGGUAGGUAGGAAAUAGCCGAUGCCUUUAUAAUUCAAGACGACAAGGUAGACUGCUCUUCCCCGCUGGACAGCCUCAAGUCAUCCCUAAGUCCACCAGUGGCGUUAUCGUUUAUAGUCCCCUCACAGAAACAAAAGUUCAGAUUUCAGGAUCUGAUGUCACACCUGACACUGAUGCCACUCCCGUCUAGAAAACUAAAUGUCCUUACUCUGCCUCCUGAACCUAGUUGUGUCCUGUAGUCUGUCACUCACUGAUUCCAUGUUAAGCUUGCCUGUCUGUCUACCAGAAAUCCUAGAAUAAAGCUCUGCAAUCCCUCCUGACCCCGUCCCAUCCCCAAAACCUUUUAUCUCCCUCUUGACAAAUCACUGUCUACCCGGAUUCCGUUACAGUGUUUGGGUUUGUUUUUAUUGCUGUUGUUGGUUGCUUGGUUUUUGUUUUGUUUUUUCUUGGUUUUUGCUUGGUUUUUUUUUUCUUUUCUCCUUAAAUGCAAAGAAAGCCUCUUGGAUUAUUUUCACCAUCCACACCUAGCAGGGAGCUCAGAGCAUAGAGUAGCCCUGAAUAAAUAGUAAAUAAAGGAAUUAGUAUGUACUGUGGAAAAAAAUACAUUCUCCCUCUAUCAUUCAAGGCCUGGGAAGAAUCAACUACUACAGAAGAGAAAAUAGGUGUGGGAACCUACAGAAAAAAAAAAAAAAACUCAGAUGAGAGAGCAGAUCAAAGGAAAGGAAGGCACCUCCUCAUGCUUGGUACCUCCCUUAGUCUUUCUUAAACACACCAAAAAGUGAAACCCCUGUCCCAUGGGUUGGAGAGGAGAAGUCGUGCAGCUUCAGUACACUUUGUAGCCAGCAUCUGUGUGGUUAAGGAAACAAAAGCCAUUCCUUGGUCAGGGGAAAUGUGCUCUCUGACCCCUUUAUGGCUUAAAGAGGUGAAAUGUGCUCCACCCCUUCUGCUGUGACCUCCGUUUUGUUUUGUGCUCCUAAACCAAAGUCACUCACUGUUCACAGUGCCCCCCAAGCAUGAAGGGAUCCACCCCACGCCUUCAUUUGGCUCAACAGCCAAGAUCAACAGUGCAACAGAUGGGGCCUCCCUCUGCUCCAUCCCAUGUCUCCUGCAAAUGAAGCAGUAGGUGGUGGGUCUCAUCAAGAAGAACUCAUCAUCUUGCUAAGAAGAAUUCUCUCCUUUAGGAAAGAAUGUGCACCAGCCACACCAGGCUCUUGUGUAAAGAACAUCAAGACUGGGGGGGGGGGUCCUCUUUAUAAUUGACAUCUCUUCUCCUGGCUAGUCUCCUCCUUAGCCAUUAAAGAAUCUUCAGAACACAGCUCUCCUACAGUACAGGCUUAGCUGAGCCAAGAGGAAAAGUUAAAACCAGGGCUUUCCCUCUACGUUGCUUUGAAGCCCUCACUAGGAUUUCAUGGAAGUCCAACUUCUUUAGGUUAUGGAGAAAAAGCAACUAUAACCUUCCUUGAUAUUUUAAUCUACCUCCUAAUCUCCAGCCUGGAAAGAAAGCUUCAUAAGAAGAAGAUAAGGACACCCAUGUACCAGUGUGUGUGUGUGUGUGUGUGUGUGUGUGUGUGUGUGUGUGUGCGUGUGUCCUUGCCCACAGCCCACAGCAAAUGAAUGACUCAGGAGACACUCUCAGGACAUCUUCUUUGUCUGUCAUAUUGAAGUCUACCUUUCAAAGCCAAUCAUUAACAAUAUUGUCUCCAUCCUCCCAGAUGGCUCUGUCUUAACAAAACCAAACCCUGAUCCCAGAGCUUUUCUUCUGCUAAUUUCACUCUUUCUAAACACAUUUCCCCAGAUAUGUGCCACUCACUGCCUUCCAACGGGAACUGACUCCUAUUGGCUUAAAGUAAUGAAUACUUUCAUCUGCCUCCAGUGAGGCUACUAGAUCACUAGGGAGAAUAAUACAUAUAUUCAUCUGACUUAAACUGGUUCCCACUUCUCUCAGCAGGAAAGUCAAUAAAGCUGGUUGAAGCUGGAGGACAGGUGACCCCUGGCUAAGCAUUUUUUUUAUCUCUUUGCUCUUUGACCACUCUCACCAGCCUCUCCUAUAUGGCAUCAUUUGUAUACUUGGUAUGGGACAAAUAGGUCCUUCACAGGAAUAAAUGAAUAACUCCUUCUCUGUCUGAUGCUUGUACCCCACACAAGAAGACUGCCUACUCCAAGAUAGUGGGGAGGCUACUUCAGAAGAAAGAGAAAGAGGAGUUGGUGUCUGCUGACACGGUGGGUUCUAUCCAAUGAGGUCAGAGGAGGGCUGUUGGCAGCUUCCGUUAAAUUCUGUUGGGGCAGGCAAGUGGCCACUGGCAGUUAGUUCUGUGGUGAAGCUAAGGAUGCUGGGAUAGAUGGUCAAAGCUAUGAGGAGGUCAUCUAUACACUGGAGUGGAGUGCUUUGUGGAUGUCUUUAUCUAAAGUCCAUCAGACCUGCCCUCAGGUUUUCAUCAAACACUGUUGGACUUUCCAUCAAGAAGAUUAGAUUCCAGUCAAACCUAAAAUGGCUUCAGCAAGAAUAAAAGAUGGAGGAACCUCUGCACUCUCUUGCCCUGAAACAAUACAAAACUAUAAGAAGCCAAAGUAUGAGGGCACCAGGUAUAACAGACAUGUUGGGGUUUGUCCACAUGACAAAAUACGCAGUAGUCUGCUUCUCCUCUCCAGAUCCCUGACCUACAACUAACUAUUUGAACUGGCCACCAGGCAUAUAUGGUAUACCUUGAAAAUGAUUGUCCAUGAGAAAGAGUGAAUACAAUAAAUAUGGAAGUUGGGUUUCUCAGGCUGGGGACAUACCUUGAGGAGAGAGAGGUACGGGUGCUUGAUCCCAAACCUUAAUAAACCGAGUUUAAUUCCUAAGACCCACACAGUGGAAGGAGAGAACCUAUCCCUGCAGGUUGUCCUCUUGAUACAUAUGCACCCACAUGUGUACACGUGCACCCACUCAUGCAUACACACAAACUGUUAAGCGUGUUAUGUGGGUGGGGCAGGCUGGAGAGAUGGCUCAGUGGUUAAGAGUGCUUGCUGCUCUUACAGAGCAUCCCACCAUGUCAGCUGGUUCCAUGUCUGCUGUUUCACAACUACCUGUAACUCCAGCCUCAAGGGAUCUGAUGCUCUCUUCUGACCUCUGACCUCCUCAAGCAUCCACACAGCGUGGCAUACAGAUCCAUGGACCUACCCAAAGAGAUAAGCAAAUAAAAAUAAGUUCAGUUUCUCUUAUUAUACUCUAUUUCCUUCUGGUGCCAGGGAAUGGAAGUCAGAGCCUUAUGCUUGCCAGGCCAGUUCUCUCUGGCUGACUAGACCCCAGCUGUAAAAUUUUUAAAAUAAAAAUAAAAAUACCACUUGUUGAGUUUUGGUGUAGUAAAUAAGAAUCACUGCACUAAUUUUCAAAAAGUUAUCAAAACACUAUUAUCUCUCCCUUUUCAAGUGUGCAUCGCUGGAAAACUGAAGUUAAAUUGCAUGCUUCAGCCAGAACAAGCUCAAGACAGAAGCACGUGUAAAAGCCACGUGUCGUCUCUCAAUUGAGGCAUUUAAAAUAUUUACGAAAUAAUCAAACAGUUUCUCCCAUCUGAUGUGAUGCUCUCUCCCUCCUCCUGCCCCAGGGACGUUGGGCAACCCUUUGGUUGUCCCCUGAGAUCCAGGAGGAGGGUUUGCUGCUCACUUGUGCAGAGAGGUGGCCCUGCACCUGGGGCCUCGCAGAACAAGAAAUACCUUGUCAAAACUUCAGCCCUGCAGAGGUAGAAGGACAUCCUGAUGAAAACUGACCCCUCCCCCAACACCCUUCUUGUUCAGUGUGUGUUCAAAUAUAUAGGAGUAUGCAACAGGAUUCUCUUUAAAUAACUUCACAGUUUAAAAACAAGUCACUAUUUGAAAGUGUAAUGUCAGUGGGUAUAACCCACAUAAACAAAAGCUCUUUGGGGGUUCUCAAUAUUUUUUUUAAGAGCUGAAGGGAUCCCAAGACUAAAAAGUUCAAGAAAUUCUUAAAACUUAUGGAGACUAUAGAUUACAUGAUGACACCUAUUGAAUGGCUCUUACACACCAGCCAGGUUAAAAACAAGGUGUUCACAGCAGGCAUGACAAUGAGUGACAUGUGGCUUCCUCAGAAGGAGGUACACUGGCCAAUAAAGAGCUCAGAUCCAGAGGCAAAGUGUGCCAAUCCAACUAUCUCUUGGAUGCUCCACCUGAGCAGACACAUCCGCCAAGAAAAGUCACCUGCGGUUCCCAAGAGAGCUACUGUCUAGAAGGGACAAGGGACAAAGGACACAAUGAACAUUUCCAUUCAAAUGGAACUGUAUAUGGAACUGGAAUGUGAAACCCGGAAAGUGCCUUCUCAGGAGGAGGGACAAGGAGGAGGAUGAGGAUGCCCUUAGGGCCCAAUGUGACACCAAAGCUGAGUCUUGAAGGAUGAGUAGGGAUUUGGUCACUUAAGAAGAGCAAGGCAUUUCAGGAGAUAACUGGGGUCAACUGUGCCUUGGGCAAAGGCCCAGAAGCAUAAAAUCACAUGGUGUAUUUGAGGUGGUUAUAAAAGGGUAUAAAAGCGAAGAUGAAAGGCAGUCUGUGCUGGCUAAAGAAACUCCGAUUGGUGCUGGGCAUCCAUCUUCAUACCCGUCAAUCAUUUGUCUCUGACUGCAGUCCUGGAAGAUAAGUUCCCAGUAACCCUAGAUCAGUGACCCCACUCCACUCCAAAAACAGUACAGCUGUGACUAUCCACUUGUUAUGACUAACUGCUCUCCCCCGCCCCCCCCCCCCCCCCGCCACACACACACACAAUUGUUUUGAGUUGCCUUAACCACGUGGCAGAACAGAAUAGUUUUUGCUUGCUUGCAUAGAUAUUGAAGGUCUUCAUGUGUUGGGCUUUAAAAGUCCCUCCCCAGACCCUUCCUUCCUUCAGAGCAAUCUCAAAUCUGGCUCGGAGUCUGUUCCCUCUUUUAAUUGUAAAUGGAUUGAGUCUGUAGUCUUUUACAAGGGGUCACAAACUCCAUAACAAGAUGAAGUAUAUACCACCCAACAAAAUAGUCUCCAGUAGAAGCAAAAAAAAAAAAA